CUCAUCUCUAAGAAGUUAAUCCUCAACACAUUACCCAAGGGUCCUGAUCUGUAGCCGAUAGAAAUCAGUUGAAAGAAUCCCUUGACUUCACUGGGCUUUGGAUCAUGCCCUCUGGAAUGAGCAAAUUCAUUCUGUGGGCUUCAGAUACAGCCCUGAGCAAGAGACAAUGUGGAAGCUUUGCCAGCCCAGAAGUAGCCCCAAGAAGCACUGUGAGUCAGAGACAAACCUGGACACAUCUGCUUCCUCCUUGAAG